rnacentral:rRNA from 1 species
AGCUCCAAUAGCGUAUAUUAAUGUUGUUGCAGUUAAAAAGCUCGUAGUUGAAUUUCUGGGUAGUCUUUCGUGGCCUGCCUUAACGGGUGUGUGCCACGCUAAAGCUGCUCAUCCUUCUGAAGAACCUAUGUGGCAUUCAGUUGUCGUGUAGGGGAUCAGAUACUUUACCUUGAAAAAAUUAGAGUGUUUCAGGCAGGCAAUCGCCGGAAUACAUUAGCAUGGAAUAAUUGAAUAGGACUUCCGGUUCUAUUUGUUGGUUUUGUGGACCGAAGUAAUGAUUAAUAGGGAUAGUUGGGGGCAUUCGUAUUUAAUUGUCAGAGGUGAAAUUCAUGGAUUUGUUAAAGACGAACUUAUGCGAAAGCAUUUGCCAAGGAUGUUUUCAUUAAUCAAGAACGAAAGU